UACAAAAAUACCAGCUAAAAGGGUAAUUCUCAAAAUUCAAAGGGUAAUUUUGUCCGUUUAAUUUGGCACGGAUUGCUGGGUUAUACGCGUGCAUCUCUCACUCUUCCUGUUUUGUCCUUGUCAACCCUAGCAGCCACAACACCAUCUCUGGAAUAUCAUCGGCUUCUGCUUCCUAAAACCAAACCCACUGUUUCUGUCCUUGUCAACCCCAGCAGCCACAACACCAUAUUUGGAAUAGCAUCGGCUCUUGUUUCCUAAAACCAAACCCACAAACACUGGCCUCCAUUUUUGUAACUCGAGAGUUUCGGUGAGACGAUAAUCUUUCAUCUUC
rnacentral:lncRNA from 1 species